UACAGAGGUCUCAAGCGUUGUUCGGAUUCAUUGGGUCGUUAAAGGGUGCGAGUAGGCGGCGGGGUAAGGUCAGGUGUGAAAUCUCGGGGCUCGAACCCCGAAACUGCACUUGAUACUGCCUCGCUUGAGUACUGGAGAGGAGACUGGAAUUUACGGUGAGCAGUGAAAUGCGUAGAUAUCGUAAGGAAGACCAGUGGCGAAGGCGAGUCGUCUGGACAGUUACUGACGCUGAGGCACGAAGGCCAGGGGAGCAAACGGG
rnacentral:rRNA from 1 species